AGCUGAAGAGCUCGAAUGUGGAUGGUUGAAGGCUCGCUUUUAGCGGCUCGGAUUUUGUGGUCGUGUGGAGAAUCUGCUCGGCUUGACUCAGCAUUUUGGAUGCCCUUUGAUCCUUCGCUCUUUAGGGUCCCAACCAGCUCCUUGGCAGUUAAACGCUCCAAUUACUCCUCCAUACUGUAAUUAAAUUCAAAGGAGGUUAAAUUACAAGAUUCGAUUCAUGAACUUUUAGAAUUGCGUUUAGUUCCUUUCUAGAAAUUUUAGUAAUUGGAAGAGUUUUUGUAAUUUCUUUGGAUGGGAAGCCUCCUCAUCUUUUUGUCUGUUUCAUCUCAUCAAAUGAAAUGUUUCUUGUAAAAAAAUAG